GUUCAACCUUCACGCCGAAAACGCCGAUCGAUAUAUCGAUCUGGGACGACCGGCACACGCGUAGGUGGUUUGAACUCUCUGAUUCAAACCGACACCCCUGGAAGCCCCGCCCCCUUCCUCCCGUCUCACGUAAGUAAGGUUUUGACCCGGCGCUCGCUCCUCGACUCGAUUUUCCUGCCAGAAAGAUGUACAGAUGUAGCAGUCCUGAUUUCUGUCAAGGGAAAUGGAGAACGUUCUGGAGUUCAGUGCGAAAUAAAAUCGAUCGAUGGUCGUUUUAGUUAAGGUGAGCACGGUCGCCUCGUACCUCCGGGGUCGACGGUUCGAACCCCGCCUCCGCCCUGUACGCGCCGAGCUUGCAUGUUGUCUCCGUGCUUCGGGGGUUUCCUCCGGUUUCCUCCACCGGUCCAAAGACGUGCGUUGUAGGCUGAUUGGCGUGUCUAAAUUGCGCGUGGUGUGCGAAUGUGCGUGCGGUUGUACCCUGCGAGGGUUUGGCGUCCUGUCCAGGGUGUGUCCCCUGCGACGUCCCUGGGAUGAGCAGUACGGAAAACGGAUAGAUGGAUCUAUGUAUGUUUGAUAGUUAGUAGUUUUUCCGUUAUUAGGCACACACUGAAAUUUCAGCCAUGUGAAAGGACUAUGUUUUUUUUUUGUUUGUUUUUUUUUAAUGUACUGUAUGUUUGGAGUUUUUUUUUGGCUAGCUACUGCAUUUUUACUUUCCCUUUGCCUCCCUCCCCUUUCCCAGGAUUACUCAUUAUUCCCCUUCAAGGUUGGCAGGUCUGUUUACGCUGCCCCGAGCCCCACAUGUCCUCGGUCCUCGGUCCUCAGUUCCACAAGAGCAGCAUUUUGGUUUAUUUCACAGGCUAAGAACCAGAGAUGUUGUGGUGGAGAAGAUCCAUCAGAGAGCAAAACAACUUCCAAAUGUAUCAGAAGGCAGAGCUCGGUAUUUAUUCAGGUCCUCAGAAAGCAAGUGUGAGCGUCUGUGUAAAAUAAUUACCCCUAGAAAGAAAGGAAUGUGUGUCGCUUCGGUACUGAUUCAAGAGAGCGAGAGCGAGAGCGGGGGGAAAGAAUGCAGCGCUCAGGCUCUUUCACCUGAGAGAGAACCAAUACACACAGAAAAUCCCAGUGGUGCUCAUUAGUGAGACGGGAACCAUUCCUACACACACUCACACACACACACACACACGGUGAUAAUAUCAAUGCAUCCUGGUGGUUUUAUUUGAUUUUUAACAGUGCUUUGAUUCAUUUUGCUUGUUAAAUUUCCA
ensembl:lncRNA